rnacentral:misc_RNA from 1 species
UUUCCGUAGGUGAACCUGCGGAAGGAUCAUUAACGAGUUUGGGUCUUCUAGGCCCGACCUCCCAACCCUUUGUUUACUGAACCAUUGUUGCCUCGGUGGGUCCGUCUUACGACCGCCGGGGGAUCGCCGCGAGGCGCCCCCUGGCCAGCGCCCACCGAUAGCCCAACCUUUAAAACCCUUUGUGAAUCGUGUCUUAUGUCUAAACUUAUGAUUAAACAAUCAAAACAAAACUUUCAACAACGGAUCUCUUGGUUCUG